UUCCAGACUCCUACGGGAGGCAGCAGUGGGGGAUAUUGCACAAUGGGGGGAACCCUGAUGCAGCGACGCCGCGUGGGUGAAGGAGCGUUUCGGCGCGUAAAGCCCUAUCGGCAGGGAAGAAGGAGGACGGUACCUGACUAAGAAGCCCCGGCUAACUACGUGCCAGCAGCCGCGGUAAUACGUAGGGGGCAAGCGUUAUCCGGAUUUACUGGGUGUAAAGGGAGCGCAGGCGGCGCGUUAAGCCUGGUGUGAAAGCCCGCGGCCCAACCGCGGGACUGCAUUGGGAACUGGCGCGCUGGAGUGCCGGAGGGGUAGGCGGAAUUCCUAGUGUAGCGGUGAAAUGCGUAGAUAUUAGGAGGAACACCAGUGGCGAAGGCGGCCUGCUGGACUGCAACUGACGUUGAGGCUCGAAGGCGUGGGGAGCAAACAGGAUUAGAUACCCCUGUAGC
rnacentral:rRNA from 1 species